UGUUAAAAUAUUUUUUCAUUUGUAUUAUUAAAAAUUAGCAUAACUAAUAGAAUAAUUAGAUAGUGAUACGUGAUAUACCAUGUGCACCUCAUGCUGAAGUAUAAAGAUCUGUUUUUAACAAUAUAAAUGAAUGUAAUUUUUAAUA
rnacentral:pre_miRNA from 1 species